CCUACGGGAGGCAGCAGUGAGGAAUAUUGGUCAAUGGGCGCGAGCCUGAACCAGCCAAGUAGCGUGAAGGAUGACUGCCCUACGGGUUGUAAACUUCUUUUAUAAAGGAAUAAAGUGAGGCACGUGUGCCUUUUUGCAUGUACUUUAUGAAUAAGGAUCGGCUAACUCUGUGCCAGCAGCCGCGGUAAUACGGAGGAUCCGAGCGUUAUCCGGAUGUAUUGGGUUUAAAGGGAGCGUAGAUGGGUUGUUAAGUCAGUUGUGAAAGUUUGCGGCUCAACCGUAAAAUUGCAAUUGAUACUGGAAGUCUUGAGUACAGUUGAGGUAGGCGGAAUUCGUGGUGUAGCGGUGAAAUGCUUAGAUAUCACGAAGAACCCCGAUUGCGAAGGCAGCUUACUAAACUGUCACUGACAUUGAUGCUCGAAAGUGUGGGUAUCAAACAGGAUUAGAUACCCUAGUAGUC
rnacentral:rRNA from 1 species